rnacentral:rRNA from 1 species
UACGGAGGGUGCGAGCGUUGUCCGGAAUCACUGGGCGUAAAGGGCGCGUAGGCGGCCUGGCAAGUCAAUGGUGAAAGCUCGUGGCUCAACUGCGAGUCGGCCACUGAUACUGCUGGGCUAGAGCACUGUAGAGGCAGAUGGAAUUCCGGGUGUAGCGGUGGAAUGCGUAGAGAUCCGGAAGAACACCGGUGGCGAAGGCGGUCUGCUGGGCAGUAGCUGACGCUGAGGCGCGACAGCGUGGGGAGCAAACAGG